AUUCUGCCCCUUCUUCUUCCUCUUUUCAGUUCAUCCUUGCACAUAAGCUUUUCUCAAAUGAGGCCUGCUUUACUAGUCUCUGUCAUGCUCUUUCUUCUUGUAGAGGCUCAAGCUAUUCGAGUACUGCAACAAGAUAUUUCAUUAGCUGGUCAUCAGAAAUUCCAUG